AUUGAACGCUGGCGGCAGGCCUAACACAUGCAAGUCGAGCGGAUGAAGGGAGCUUGCUCCUGGAUUCAGCGGCGGACGGGUGAGUAAUGCCUAGGAAUCUGCCCGGUAGUGGGGGAUAACGUCCGGAAACGGGCGCUAAUACCGCAUACGUCCUGAGGGAGAAAGUGGGGGAUCUUCGGACCUCACGCUAUCAGAUGAGCCUAGGUCGGAUUAGCUAGUUGGUGGGGUAAAGGCCUACCAAGGCGACGAUCCGUAACUGGUCUGAGAGGGUGAUCAGUCACAACGGAAAUGAAAACCGGGCCAAACCCCCAAGGGAGGCAGCAGGAGGGAAACUUUGGAAAUGGGCCGAAGCCCGAAGCAGCCAAGCCGCGGGGGGGAAGAAGGGCCUCGGAUUGUAAAACCCUUUUAGGUGGGAAGAAAGGACGUGAAGUUAACACUUCACUUUUUGAAGGUAACUAACAAAAAAGCCACGGCUAACUACGUG
rnacentral:rRNA from 1 species